AUACGUAGGGAGCGAGCGUUGUCCGGAAUUACUGGGCGUAAAGGGCGCGUAGGCGGCGCUUCAAGUCGUCUGUCAAAUGGGAGGGCUUAACCCUUUUUCGCAGACGAAACUGGAGAGCUUGAGAAGCAGCGAGGCAAACAGAAUUCCUGGUGUAGCGGGGAAAUGCGUAGAUAUCAGGAAGAAUACCAGUGGCGAAGGCGGUUUGCUGGCUGCAUACUGACGCUGAAGCGCGAAAGCCAGGGGAGCAAACGGGAUUAGAUACCCCGGUAGUCCUGGCAGUAAACGAUGUAUGCUGGGUGUGAGACUAGCGAUAGUUUCGUGCCGAAGUUAACGCGAUAAGCAUACCGCCUGGGGAGUACGGUCGCAAGAUUGAAACUCAAAUGAAUUGACGGGG
rnacentral:rRNA from 1 species